UUCUUUCAAUAUUUUUCUGGUGGUGGAGGAACUGAUGGCAAAGAGGCGAAGAAGAAGAAAGCAAAAAACUUCACAAUAAUCUCAAGUUAAAUGCUUCGUACACGCUUUUCAAGGUUGAAUCACAAAUGAAGCUUUCAUCACUGACCAACCAGCCAAACAGUAACAAAAGACACUUUCUGAGCUGGCUAUAUACUAUUAUUCAUACAUAAAUCAAAGACUAAUAUUAACUAAUGAAAUAAAGAAAAAUCUCAUAACAAGCAUAAUUUUUAAAAUAUUUCUUUGCUUAAUUACACACAUCUAAUUCAGUCCAAAAUUAAUUUCAAUUGAACUCACAAAAGCACAUCGUAAAUCCAUCUUAAUUUUUAUUGCCACACAAAUCUUGAAAUUAACUAUGGGUGUUCACUUUGAAGCAGCAGCGGCAGCUUGAAAACGAACUUGGAAAUGGGCAAGCAAUUCAUCUCUUGGAGGUAAAUAUUCCUUGUUUUGGGUGCAAUUAAUAUACUCAUCUCUCCAAGCACAAAAAUUUGGAAAUUUUUCUCUUGUAACCAAAACAAUUCCAGUUGCUUCUUCAAAAACUCCCAGCCAAAGUCCCACAAAAUUAGCAGCAAUAUCAGCAAAUCCAAAUUUGUCAGCCACAAAAAACUUCUUGUCCUUGAGCUCAUUAUCAAGAACUUUCAAUGUCUCAUAACCUUCCCCUUUAGCUUUCUCUUGCUCCUCUCCUUUGAAAAAGAAUGUUUUCGCUAUUGCUUGCAACUGCACAUAAUUCGAAACUUAAAUUGUAUAUAAAAUAUUAACAACAACUAUUCCUCCGUUCCAAAUAAGUUGUGGCUGAAUAUAUGAUUUCUCGCUGAUUGUAAUACAUCAUCUAAACUUGUCUUAGUCCGAUAUUAUUAUGGAAGUACUAGAAAUUCUCAAUAAUUUCUACUGGUAUAUAAAUCUCUAGGGACAAAAAAAAUUAAGAAAAAUAAGACCUAAAGGAAAAGUAUUACUCUGUUUGUUUCGAUUGUUUGGUUUAAUAGAAUGUGAGCGUCAAACAAACAAGUAUUUGGUGUGGAUUCGGACAUAGAAUCUUCAAAAUUUUUAAAAGUAAAAUUUAAAUAUUUAGAAACUAUAUCAAAAAUUGUUAAGUCAUGCUCAGUUAACAAUUCAGAAUAUUUAAAAAAGUAUUUGCAAAAAGGAUGAUUUAAGAAUAUAUUUUUGACUGUCCAAAUAGUAAUUAAGAUAAACAAAUUGAAACAGAACUUAAGUAGAUAUACCUUAUCAUCAAGAAACUUAGCCCAGAAACGAGCAAUAGCUCGGUCAUAAGGAUCUUUAGGCAAGAUGGAAGGACCCUCAAAUGCUUCAUCAAUGUAUUCAACAAUCACCAUAGACUCACAAAUGGGCUUCCCAUUGUGAAAGAAAACAGGAAUUUUCUUAUGAAUUGGAUUGGAUUCAAGAAGCAGAGGGCUCUUAUUUUGUAGAUUUUCUUCUAUAAAUUCAUAUUCCACACCCUUAAUUUUUAAAGCCCACUCAACUCUGUGAACGAAAGGGCUAUUCCAUAGACCAAGCAACUUAACAUCUCCCAUUUCUCAAUCUAUUUGGUUAACUGUGUUUUUGCUUUAAUCACUAAUUGAAGCAACUUAAUUUUUUUUUUUUAAAUUUGUGCUUCUGAUUUGACAACCAAUUAACUUUUGAAAAGGUAUUACAAAGUCUUUUUUUUUUUUUUUUUGGGUAAAAAUGAAAAGUUGUGUUAAAUUUAUGUCUUUAAUGCUUUUUCCUUAAUAUGUAUAUCAAAAUUCAACAAUUCAUUUAUUAUGAAACAGAGGAAGUACUAUUUUCAAAAUUGAAAUAGUCAAGUGCGAUAUUAAUUCUCUGACCGUUAAGAAUAUCAAGAGUUUAUUACUUCGUCCAUUUUUAAAAAAAUGGUCUGAUUUGACUUGAUAUGGAGUUUAAAAAAAUAAAGAAACUUUUAAAUCUUGUGGUCUUAAAUAAAAGAUACGUUAAUGCUAUGGUCUUAAGCAUGCCACGUGGAAAGUUAAAAGUAAAAAGUUGCUAAAAAUAGAAUGAGGUCAUUCUUUUUUAAAUGGAUUAAAAAGAAAAGUAGAUCCUUCUUUUUGAUACGGGGAGUACUCUUUUGUGUAUUGUACCAUCUGGAUGCAAUAAUGAAAUAUUUAUGCUUUUCCCUUUUGUAAAGAAUGAAGUUUUCUAAUUUAAUUGCUAUAUCAAUUUAAUUAUUCUAUAACACAGUCUAUUAAUUUUUAAAAAGUAUCAAUAUUAUACUGCUUCAGGGAAAGAAAAUGACAAAAUCAGGUUGCUAAAAAUUUUUUGUAAUUUAGGUGGUGCUCUAAUACAACGAAACAUAUACCAUUUUCUUAGCUAUUUGCUCCUCAAUUCUACUUUUUGCUUCAAAGACUUGUUGGUUGUGCUCCAUCCAAAUGCAAUGUGUGAAUAGUAUAUAUCAUCUUAAGUAAUUGAGCCCCUUGUGAUUUUCCUUUAGUGUUCUGCAAGAUACAAUUAAAUGUUGUUCCCAUGUUGUAUGUAGUGACUCAGUUAACUGCAUCCAGUUGAAAAGGUGUAUCUUGAUUUUUUUUUGAAAUUGUGCAAUCUUCAAAGAGGUGAGCAUUAGUUUCAUCACAUUGUUUACACAAGCUACACUUGGGUUCAACCUCAAUGUCCUAUUUCAGAAGUCGGUCAGCUAUGAAUAGUCGGCCCUGUACGUAAAUUUACAUUGUGAAAAUAGUCUUUGAUCGUGCAUAAUUGUGAAACAUUAGCCCCUUUCAGUUAUUUUUGCUUUCUCUCCUAUCAAAUGAUAGUAGAUUUGUCUUGUGGUGCCUUUGGUUCCUUUAAGAUAACUGUGACAUGUCUGUAGAAUGGUCCUCUGUGCAAACACUUUUCGAUCAUUCAAGCUGCUUGUUUAGGAGUAGUCACUAGCUAAAUUGAUUGUUCUUAACAUUGUAUCCUUCUUUGUUGCCACAUUCCAAACUGAGUUUAGUAACAACUGCUUUAUUCCACAACUCCAUAUUAAUAAGAUUAAAACCUUCUACCCUUUUUGGGGUGCAAACUUUAUCCCAAGCCACCAAAAUCUUUUUUGAUAUAACAUUAGCCUCAUCCCAUAAGUAACUUCUACAAUAACUCUCAGUUAUCUUUAGAACUUUAGCUGGUAUUAUAAAAAGUUGAUCCCAAAAAGAUUGCAUGUCAUAUAACACAGACUGGAUGAGUUGCAUUAUGCCUGCAUAAGACAGUUUUUUGGUUGUUCAUGAUGAUAUCCUUGCAAUUAUCUCUUCAAUCAAAGGCCUCCAUUGAAUUAAGGACAAUUUCUUGGUAGAAAGUGGAACACCAAUAUAUUUAAAUGGAAGUUCACCACUUGAGUGUAACGACUUGUUCGAUCGUUUUGAACACUAAAUUUAAAUAACGAGUAAUUUAAAGGAUUAAUUUAUUUUAUGAUUAAUAAAAGUAAAUUUUUUAUUUCAAAUUGGAAAUGAGCCUCAUCCAUUACUCCUUUAUUAGCCAUGUACUAGUCUAGGGUAUUAAUUAAUUAAAUAUAAAUAACAUAAAUAUCAAUCAAUUACAAUCUCUCACUUUUUAAAUUACUUUACUCUCUCUCCCUAUUAAUAUACGUAACAUAACCGACAUAUAAAUGUAUAUGAUGGGAUUUUUAUAAUAUAUUUAGGAAAUUGAGAUUUUUUAUAAUAUUAAAAAUAUAAAUUACUCCCCCGUUUAAAAAAGAAUGACCUAUUUGACUUGACACAAAGUUUAAAAAAAUAAGAAAGACUUUUGAAUUUUGUGGUCUUAAAUUAAAGUAGUGUCAAAUAUACCAAAAUAUCCUUUAAUCUUGUGAACAUAAAUAUGUCAUGUGAAAAGUUGAAAUUAAAGUAUUGUAAAAAAGGAAAGGGAUCAUUCUUUUUGAAACGAAUUAAAAAGUAAAGUAGAUCAUUCUUUUUGAAACGGAGAAAAUAUAUAUUUGUUUAAUUUUUAGAUUAAUUAAUUAUCCUCUCAACUUAUGAGAGAAGAAGAAAAUUAAAAAAAAACGGAUGAACUGCAUAGAGAAAAAUUAAGGCCAUCAGCUUCAGGUAAUAAAUUUGAGAACUUCAAAGUUUGUUCUUAUUUCUUGUUGCACGUGAUUUUGCUGGGGGGAUAGUAUUUCAUUCCUUGGCACAAUUCUCUGUUGAGUGGGAAAAGAAAAACAAAAAAUAAAAACAAAGUAAUUUUGUCUUAUUAGUACCAUGAAAAAAACGUGAAUACCAUGAAAAAAACGUGAAUACAGUAGCAGUAGCAUAUUGUGGGAAAUCUUGUUUGUACUGUAUGGAGAAAAAAUAUUUUUUUCUUCUUGAACUUAUCCAUCAAACUCACUUUAGCAUUUAAAUUUAAUUUUUGUUUAUUUAUCUCCCUUAACAUCUUUAAAGUAAAUUAUUUUCACCCCUCAAAACUGAAUACACUCUCACAAUGGAGAGUGUGUUACACCCGCUUACACUUCAAUAUCACGUCGAUGCCACGUUGGAGCCACGUAAGAAAUUAUUAUUUUUUUUAAAAAAAAUUAAUACCUCCCGCGUUAUUUUUAUAUAAUUUUUUGAAAAAAAAUAACAAAUAUCUAUACUAUUUUAUUUAUAUAAAUAUAUAUAUAUAUAAAUAUAUAUAUUUAUUUAUAUAUACAUAUAUAUAUAUAUAUUUAUAUUUAUAUAUACAUAUUUAUAUAUAUUAAAUAAAAAGUAUACCCCCACCCCCAUUUUCUUUCUUCUUCACACCCUCACCCCAUCCUGCCCACCCUGCCCCUCUUUACGUUCCCCCGUCCGCUCUCCUCCUCUAUCAAACCCACCCCACCUCCACUGUUUUUCAAUUUUCCUCCAUUAACAACCUUUCACCCUACCUUCAAUUUCAAUUUUUCCUCCACCUCCACCCCUCAUUUUUCUUCUUCUUCAAACUACCCACCCUCGUCUCCGCCCCCGCUCCCUCUAUUUCUUUCUCUUCUUCCAGCCAACCCCCAUCCCCACCUCCAAUUUUUUUUUUUUCAUUUUUCUUAAUUAACACCAUUAGAGAAUAAUCACAAAAAUAUCAAAUUAAAAUUUUUCCUCCAUUAAACAUCAUCUCAACCUUUAAUCAAACUUUCUCAAGUUUUCAUCCACCAAAUUCAUCCUUGAAAAUGUAAACAUAAUUAAAGAAUAGGGAAGAAACAAUGAACUCCAAAAAUAAAAGUUACGAAAAUUUCUUUCAAUUUUAUUAUUCUUCGAACUGAAUUAAUGAAGCAAUUUAAUGUCUUCAAUAUCUUCGUUGGAGAAUGUAUCAAUGGAGAAAAAUGAAAAAAAAUGGAGGAAAGUGUUGUUGGAGGAUGUGCUUGAGGUUGUUAAUGGAAGAAUUAAUUAUUUUAGAAAAUGGGUGUUGUUGUUUAUUGAUGUAUUGGAGAAUAAAAUGGUGUUGGGUGUGGGGUGUAGGUGUGUGGGGUGGGGAUGAGAGGUGAAGGGGGUGGGGGGUAUUGAAGAAGAAAGGAGUUUUUCUUUUAUUUGUGUGUGUGUGUGUGUGUGUAAAAAUAAGUGGGAAAAGAAGAAGAAAAAUCUGAAACGCGCCCCUUUUUUAUUUUAAAUGCCACGUCAGCAUUAGGCGGGAAAAUAAUUCACUUUAAAGAAGUUAAGGGGGGUAAAUAAAUGAAAGUUAAGUUUAAGUGCUAAAGUGAGUUUGGAGGACAAGUUCAGGGGGGAAAAUGUCUUUUCUCUACUAUAUGGCAUGCAAUCUUUAUAUGGCAUGCCUUUGUGUGUAAUCUUUAUACACAAUCUUUAUGUGUAAUCUUUAUAUGCAAUCCUUAUUUGUGUAUGUUGGAGGCCGUCAGGUUGAUAUUGGGGAAAUGUGUAAUUAGUUUAUAGUGAAAUAUAGAAGAAGGGUGGAGCGGUACACCAUUGAGCUAAUUGUUGUAUAUUAUUAUUACCCAUUCUGUUUUGUGUAUUAUUUUGGAGGGUGUAAUGAAACCAAAGUCGUUUCGGGGAUCUUAUAAGAAUUUUUAUGGUAUGUGGAUGUAAUUGGAGGAGAAAAGGGUUAAAAGAACAACCUUGAUUGAUAAAUUAAGGGCUUACUACUUGGCUACUGUUUUGGUGAAGUUAAAUAGCCCAAAUGUGUUGGUUGGUUACUAAUAUUAGUUUAUCAUAUAUUUUAUUGUAGAUAAGUAAUCUAAAAGGCUGGAAGUCAAGUUGGGUUAGUUUCGGAGUUAUACAACCAGGUAUGUAAAGCUACUCUAUCUCGUAUUAUUUGGCAUGAAAUCUAGCACUUUUGGUACAACGUAAGCUUCUAAAGCUUUCCCAUAGUAAAUAAUACCUAAUAGCAGCACAUGAUCUCCCAUCUAGCUGACGACCUUGCUUCCGCUCCCCAAUGUGUUAAAAUACCUCACCACGUGCUUAUUAUCAAUUUUUCAUUUUUACAUUCACUAGUAAGUAUCUAGAGUUCUCCUUUAACUCAAAUAAGACACGUAUGUUAUUUUCAGCUCCUAAAUAUCUCAUUCGUGUACAAUCUGCUCCAUACCUCUUUGGUAUUGCAUUAAGUGUUUAUUCAUAUGUCUCUUAUUAGUAGAUUAUUGUUUCAAGGUACCAUAAUGUUAUGACCACCAAGGUAACAAUCUAAAAGGCUAAAUAAACUAAGUAACACAAUCUGUAAAACGGGUGGCAGCUCAGGGGCAAAAACCUAGCAUGGGUCGAUCCUAAUGUUCAUAUGUGGGUGGCAGCUCAGGGACAUAAGCCUAGCAUGGUCCGAUCCCGAUUUGUUUAUUUACCACUGAUUAGCUGGUCAUUUGCACUAUAUGUCUUACAAAGAUUAUGAAGUAAGAAGGGUAAAAAUGAAGAAAAGAAUGUAAUGUACCUAGUCCCACAAGUAUAUAUAAAGGUUGUCUACUAGCACUACUUAUACACUUAUCUGAUUUCUAAUGAGCUCGUGUAUCAUGUGUUGUUACCUGCGCCUUACAUAUUAAGUACAUAUUUUCGUACUAAUUAACGUCCCGCACGGGGGGCCUGUAUUUCAUGAUGCAGGCAUAAGUACUUCAGCUAAUACACCUCGCUAGUAAGAGCACGAGAUAUCCAGUGACUAUUGGUGAGAUCCAGUUUGAUUCGGGGCUUUCCGAGUUUGUUUUAUAUAUUUUGAUACUGUACAGUAGUUAAGACUAAGGCGGGGGUUUUUCCCGACCUUAACUAAGUUUCUGUGUAUCUUUUAGAGGCUUUAUAGACCAAUGUGAAGUUAAGCAUAGUAGUGUCUUGUCUCUUAGAUGUGGUGGCCCCAACGACCAAGUCUUGUAUUUAUAAUUUUGUGCUUGCCCACCUAGUUGUUCUCAUCAAUGCAUUGUAUCAUAUUUGGC
rnacentral:lncRNA from 1 species